ensembl:lncRNA
UGUUCCCAUCCUGUGUUGAAGGUUGAGAGUGCUGCGGGUGAGGAAGCCGCGCUGCUGUAAGGGACCCCAGGGCCUGCAAGCCCGCUCCUCCUCCACCCAAGCCGACGGACAGGAGCAGCUCUUCCACCUCACUGACAACAUCCACUCUGAGUUGGUAUGUGGCAGGGUCUACAGACAGUCACGGACGACAAAGGGAAAACCAGACACGUCGCGGACACAGACGUCUUGCUUCCAGACAAGCUAAACACCUUUCUUUGCCCGCUUUGAUGAUAACACAGUGCCACCGACACGGCCCGCUACCAAGGACUGUUGCCUCUCCUUCUCUGUGGCCGACGUCAGUAAGACAUUUACACGUGUUAACCUUCGCAAGGCUGCCGGCCCAGACGGCAUCCCUAGCCGUGUCCUCAGAGCAUGCGCAGACCAGAUGGCAGGAGUGUUUACGGACAUAUUCAAUCUCUCCCUAUCCCAGUCUGUUGUCCCUACUUGCUUCCAGAAAUCCACCAUUGUUCCUGUACCCAAGAAAGCUAAGGUAACUGAACGAAUUGACAAUCGCCUCGUAGCACUCCUGUCAUAAUGAAGUACAUUAGGGCUCCCGAGUGGGUCAGCAGUGUAAGGCACUGUAUCUCAGUGCAAGUGGCGUCACUACAGUCCCUGCUUCGAAUACAGGCUGUAUCACAUCCGGACGUAAUUGGGAGUCCCAUAGGGCGGCGCACAACUGGCCCAGCGUCGUCCAGGGUAGGCCGUCAUUGUAAAUAAGAAUUUAUUCUUCAUUGACUUGGCUAGUUAAAUGUUUUAUUUUAGUUUUUAUUGUCAAGGGUCAUAUCACCUCUACCUUACCUGACACCCUAGACCCACUUCAAUUUUCUUACCACCCAAAUGGAUCUACAGACGAUGCAAUCGCCAUCGCACUACACACUGCCCUCUCUCAUCUGAACAAGAGGAAUUCCUAUGUAAGAAUGUUGUUCAUUGACUAUAGCUCAGCAUUCAACACCAUAGUACUCUCCAAGCUCAUCAUUAAGCUCGAGGCCCUGGGUCUGAACCCUGCCCUGUGCAACUGCGUCCUGGACUUCCUGACAGGCUGCUCCCAGGUGGUGAAGGUAGGAAAAAACACCUCCACUUCACUGAUCCUCAACACUGGGGCCCCACAAGGAUGCGUGCUCAGCCCCCACCUGUACUCAGGAUGCGUGCUCAGCACCAGCAGUGGCGUAGCCAUGCCCUUCCCAACAGAAGCCUAUGGUAAAGGCUUCCACAACCCUAUAAGAACUCUUCUGUAGUGUUAAUACAAUUAUUAAGACCAUAAUUCAUUAUUAUUUCAUUUAUUUAUGCACAUUCUAGCCUAUAAUGUCCAAGAAUUAUGUAUUUGUUUUACUUUUUCCCUCAGAA